rnacentral:rRNA from 1 species
UGCGAAGGGGGCUAGCGUUGCUCGGAAUCACUGGGCGUAAAGCGCACGUAGGCGGAUUGCUAAGUCAGGGGUGAAAUCCUGGAGCUCAACUCCAGAACUGCCUUUGAUACUGGCGACCUUGAGUCCGGGAGAGGUGAGUGGAACUGCGAGUGUAGAGGUGAAAUUCGUAGAUAUUCGCAAGAACACCAGUGGCGAAGGCGGCUCACUGGCCCGAUACUGACGCUGAGGCACGAAAGCGUGGGGAGCAAACAGG